rnacentral:lncRNA from 1 species
GGGGGGGGGGGGGGGGGGGGGGGGGGGGGGGGGGGGGGGGGGGGGGGGGGGGGGGGGGGGGGGGGGGGGGGGGGGGGGGGGGGGGGGGGAACCAGGGCACGAACCAGGGCACGAACCAGGGCACGAACCAGGGCACGAACCAGGGCACGAACCAGGGCACGAACCAGGGCACGAACCAGGGCACGAACCAGGGCACGAACCAGGGCACGAACCAGGGCACGAACCAGGGCACGAACCAGGGCACGAACCAGGGCACGAACCAGGGCACGAACCAGGGCACGAACCAGGGCACGAACCAGGGCACGAACCAGGGCACGAACCAGGGCACGAACCAGGGCACGAACCAGGGCACGAACCAGGGCACGAACCAGGGCACGAACCAGGGCACGAACCAGGGCACGAACCAGGGCACGAACCAGGGCACGAACCAGGGCACGAACCAGGGCACGAACCAGGGCGCCGCUUCCUCCCUCCGCCUCGGGCCGCCCCUCAGUGCGCUGCUCCCUCCAUGCAGGGACAAGGGACCUCAGAGCACGGAUGGCACCACCCGUGCCAUGUCACCCCCGUGUUUGCUGGGGGUGACGGUGUUUUCUGUGGCCAGCUGACCACCGCAGCUCUCCCCUCGGGGUGUGAUGGCCUGGCCCUCUCCCUGCCGUGCACAGGCCUUGAGCAGCUGCAGCAUGGCCGCCCCGUGCCUGCUCCCACCGAGGGGCUGCCCUCCUCCUCCACAGGCAGCGCUGCCUCUCCAAACACACACAGCGGCUGGUGCUGUUUGUCUGCUCACUGGAGAAGUUUUGCAAUGGAGUGUGAAGAGAGGGAUACAACCGUCAGGAACAGAGGAAAGCUUGAAGACAGGCCUAAUGAUUGCUGUGCUUGGGAUGGCCGAGGUGUUUGCAAGUCUGUGUUUGAAGGAGUCAUUACCACCCUACAAGCAUUCUCAAUUGUGGCCACCUUCCUCUGCUGCCUCAGAAGACCAUGUUUGCAAGUCUGUGUUUGA